rnacentral:rRNA from 1 species
AACGAACGCUGGCGGCAGGCCUAACACAUGCAAGUCGAGCGAGGACUUCGGUCCUAGCGGCGGACGGGUGAGUAACGCGUGGGAACGUGCCCUUUGCUACGGAAUAGCCCCGGGAAACUGGGAGUAAUACCGUAUGUGCCCUUAGGGGGACAGAUUUAUCGGCAAAGGAUCGGCCCGCGUUGGAUUAGGUAGUUGGUGGGGUAAUGGCCUACCAAGCCGACGAUCCAUAGCUGGUUUGAGAGGAUGAUCAGCCACACUGGGACUGAGACACGGCCCAGACUCCUACGGGAGGCAGCAGUGGGGAAUCUUAGACAAUGGGCGCAAGCCUGAUCUAGCCAUGCCGCGUGAGCGAUGAAGGCCUUAGGGUUGUAAAGCUCUUUCAGGGGGGAAGAUAAUGACUGUACCCCCAGAAGAAGCCCCGGCUAACUCCGUGCCAGCCGCCGCCGUAAUAC